UUUGAUUCCUGGCUCAGGAUGAACGCUAGCGGCAGGCCUAAUACAUGCAAGUCGAACGAGAUUCUAUUCUUCGGAAUAGAUGAAAGUGGCGCACGGGUGCGUAACGCGUAUGCAACCUACCCUUAACAGGGGGAUAGCCCAGAGAAAUUUGGAUUAAUACCCCAUAGUACUACAAGAUGGCAUCUGAAAGUAGUUAAAGAUUUAUCGGUUAAGGAUGGGCAUGCGUGACAUUAGAUAGUUGGUGAGGUAACGGCUCACCAAGUCAACGAUGUCUAGGGGUUCUGAGAGGAUGAUCCCCCACACUGGUACUGAGAUACGGACCAGACUCCUACGGGAGGCAGCAGUAGGGAAUAUUGGUCAAUGGGCGAGAGCCUGAACCAGCCAUGCCGCGUGCAGGAAGACAGCUUUCUGAGUUGUAAACUGCUUUUAUACGGGAAGAAAAAGCCCUUGCGAGGGAAAUUGCCGGUACCGUAUGAAUAAGCACCGGCUAACUCCGUGCCAGCAGCCGCGGUAAUACGGAGGGUGCAAGCGUUGUCCGGAUUUAUUGGGUUUAAAGGGUGCGUAGGCGGAUCUUUAAGUCAGUGGUGAAAUCCUGCAGCUUAACUGUAGAACUGCCAUUGAUACUGGAGGUCUUGAGUAUACUAGAGGUAGGCGGAAUUUAUGGUGUAGCGGUGAAAUGCAUAGAUACCAUAAAGAACACCAAUAGCGUAGGCAGCUUACUGGAGUAUAACUGACGCUGAGGCACGAAAGCAUGGGUAGCGAACAGGAUUAGAUACCCUGGUAGUCCAUGCCGUAAACGAUGAUUACUCGAUGUUGGCGAUAUACUGUCAGCGUCCAAGCGAAAGCGUUAAGUAAUCCCCCCUG
rnacentral:rRNA from 1 species